CUGGUGAUGAAUCCUUCUUACAUGCCAGAUGCACGCUGGUCAGAAGAUUCUAAUGGUCUUUGUUUUAUGUGCAUCGGCCCCAUUGUGGAGAAAACGGCUAUUUAUUUUAAUGCUAAAGGGACCUUGCUGCA